AUUGAACGCUGGCGGCAUGCCUUACACAUGCAAGUCGAACGGCAGCUGGGACUGCGGUCCGCGGGCGAGUGGCGAACGGGGGAGUAAUGUAUAGGAACGCACCUUUAAGUGGGGGAUGACGUAGCGAAAUUGAUGCCAAAACCGCAUACUCUGUGAGCAGGAAUGCAGGGGAUCGCGAGACCCUGCGCUGCUUGAGCCGCCGAUAUCAGAUAGCUAGUUGGUGAGGUAAAGGCUCACCCAGGCUACGAUCUGUAGCGGGUCUGAGAGGAUGAUCCGCCACACUGGGACUGAGACACGGCACAGACUCCUACGGGAGGCAGCAGUGGGGAAUUUUGGACAAUGGGGGCAACCCUGAUCCAGCCAUGCCGCGUGAGUGAAGAAGGCCUUCGGGUUGUAAAGCUCUUUCAGCCGGGAAGAAAUCGCACAGGCUAAUAUCCUGUGUGGAUGACGGUACCGGAAUAAGAAGCACCGGCUAACUACGUGCCAGCCGCCGCGGUAA
rnacentral:rRNA from 1 species